ensembl:lncRNA
AGCAGGAGCUGGGUCUUGUGGGUUUGGUAAACCAGGCUCAAGCUGGUUUUCAUUCCCUGCAACCUUGACUGAGGCCAUCGAGCAAUAAGAGGGGCACAGCAGUGGAAAUAAGCAAAACUCUGAGAGAUAAGGCAGCCUGUCCAAUUAGGAACAGCAGAGCGAGGAUUCAAACCCAGUUGUCCACCAAAACUGAAGCUCCCUUGUUCCGUGGAAACAGAACAGCUGCCUAACUAUAUUAAUUUCCCAGCCUCCCUUGCAGCUCGGAGUGGACCUGUGACUUCAUCCAGUGGCACAUUAGGAGAAAUGAUGAUGCAAGCAGAAACCAUUUAUUUAUGGCUUUGAUUAUGCAAGUCACCAAAAGGCUCUGGGGGGCAUGGAACAAUGACUUGAAAAUAACCUGAAUCCCAGAAUGCGCACAUGGAGUCUGAAGCGCCCACCAGGACUGUGCGAGAAAACAUAUAUAAAUUUUAUUCUUUAAGUCAUAUUAUUGUUCAGUCUCUUGAUUACAGCACUCCAGCCUUAGCCUAACUGAUCUAUAUGUUUUUGAAUGCCAGUGGCCUCUUCUGUUAAAAAAUAAUUUAACCCCAUAAACAGUACCUCCAGACAAUGGGAGAUCCUUGAGGGUCCCUACUCCAAUCUGUGUCUGAAUUUUUCUUUUUUGUGGACUAGAUUCAAUACCUGGUGUGCUCUCAGGAGUGCCUUUAAAACCCAGUUUGGGUUGGAAAACAAAA